rnacentral:lncRNA from 10 species
GAAAAUUUUGCUAUAAGCUUCCCUGUGUCCUCUCUCCCUGUCUCCCUUCCCCCUCCCCUAAAACUAAAAGGAAUGUUAACUGCCCGUUUUUCUGUGACCAGUGGACCUCAUCUAUGCUCCCAAUUCCAAUUCCUUGUAAACAUACUUUGUAAAGUCCUGUAAAUUCCUGUCUCCUUUGCCAUGCCACUGCAAGGUCAUAAGGUAGAUAAAACCUAAGUUACAAUUCCGAUUUUCCGCAAAAUCUAAGACAUGUCACAAAAUAAUUUACUGCCUUUGUUUCUUGCUCUGGUAACAUCUUCCCUCUGCACAUAUUUCCUGCCUUAAAGAGUUUAAAAGGCAACUGCAUAAUCUAACUCUGGCUACCUGCUCGGGACCCCUUCCAUGCUGUGGAAGCUUUGUACUGUCACUCUGCUCAAUAAAGCUUACAGCUUUUUUUCUCUUGGUCCGUGUUUCCAUCUCUCGCUGGGGGCAGCUGCCACACCAAUUCUUUGGCGUGGCUAAGGCAAGAACCUUUGAUGUUACAUUUUGGCAAGCCAGCCAGGAGAUCCAGGAAAGGCAUGUAGAUUGUCACGCGGUUCCAGGCCAUCAAGCUACAAAUGGUCUUACAAAUGGAACCUCAAGUGAGCUCAACUCACGGCUUCUAUCGAGGACUCCUGGAUCAACCUGCUGGUCCCUCGACUAGCCAAAAAAUUCCCCUCUGGAGGACACCACAACUGCAGGGCCCCUUCUUUGCCCCUAAUCAGCAAAAAGUAGCCAGAAUGACCGCUGCCCAGUUCCCAACAGCAGUUGGGGUGUCCUGUCUAGAGCGAGGACUGAGAGGAGGGACCAGCCGGGCUUCCUGGGUCCUGCAGGGGCUCAGAAAGUUGUGAAACUCAUUCAUUUCCUGCAUCAGGACUUCCUUCUGUCCUGGAUGAAUAAUAUUGAAAACAUAUGCUUAAAAUAUUCCUAACACCAGGAUUUGUACAUGUGUUUUCUUCCCCCAAGAAAGCUAUAAACAGUGAAAAUUUUGCUAUAAGCUUCCCUGUGUCCUCUCUCCCUGUCUCCCUUCCCUCUCCCCUGAAACUAAAAGGAAUGUUAACUGACCAUUUCUCUGUGACCAGUGGACCUCAUCUAUGCUCCCAAUUCCAAUUCCUUGUAAACAUACUUUGUAAAGUCCUGUAAAUUCCCGUCUCCUUUGUCAUGCCACUGCAAGGUCAUAAAGUAGAUAAAACCUAAGUUACAAUUCCGAUAUUCCUCAAAAUCUAAGACAUGUCACAAAAUAAUUUACUGCCUUUGUUUCUUGCUCUGGUAACAUCUUCCCUCUGCACGUAUUUCCUGCCUUAAAGAGUUUAAAAGGCAACUGCAUAAUCUAACUCUGGCUACCCGCUGGGGACCCCUUCCAUGCUGUGGAAGCUUUGUACUGUCACUCUGCUCAAUAAAGCCUGCAG